UGAACCUUCGGGGAACGAUAACGGCGUCGAGCGGCGGACGGGUGAGUAAUGCCUGGGAAAUUGCCCUGAUGUGGGGGAUAACUAUUGGAAACGAUAGCUAAUACCGCAUAACGUCUACGGACCAAAGAGGGGGACCUUCGGGCCUCUCGCUUCAGGAUAUGCCCAGGUGGGAUUAGCUAGUUGGUGAGGUAAUGGCUCACCAAGGCGACGAUCCCUAGCUGGUCUGAGAGGAUGAUCAGCCACACUGGAACUGAGACACGGUCCAGACUCAUACGGGAGGCAGCAGUGGGGAAUAUUGCACAAUGGGCGCAAGCCUGAUGCAGCCAUGCCGCGUGUAUGAAGAAGGCCUUCGGGUUGUAAAGUACUUUCAGUCGUGAGGAAGGCAAUACAGUUAAUAGCUGUGUUGUUUGACG
rnacentral:rRNA from 1 species